rnacentral:misc_RNA from 1 species
CAGAGUUAUCCAACUCCCAAACCCAUGUGAACUUAUCUCUUUGUUGCCUCGGCGCAAGCUACCCGGGACCUCAGCGCCCCGGGCGGCCCGCCGGCGGACAAACCAAAACUCUUGUUAUCCUUAGUUGAUUAUCUGAGCUGUCUUAUUUAAUAAGUCA